CACACUGGUGUGUGUUGUUGUUCGAUCAGGCAGAGACCAAAAAGGGGGAAACCCUAGCUCUUAGAGAUUAUCAAGAUUAAGGAGAAAUUGAGAGCCCAAACCAAUGCUAGAACCCGAAUUUUCAUCCAUCUAAGCUUGAACAUCAAAAGGCGUGAAGGAAGAAAGCACGAACACUAAUAGGGCGGAAGGUGUACAAGACCGAGGUAAAUCCUCGACUUAGGCGAUUGGACGGCUUGGAACGUGCACACUUGGUUUACGCCCGCCUCACGCUUCCGUUAUAAAUUACUUUUGAAAUGGGUCAAUUUUGUGGUCGUAUGUACUUUAAGUCCAUGUAGUAUGUUGUUGUCUUGUUGUAGGGUAAAAACUUAGUAGUUGUAGUCAUAUUGGGUCUAAUGUAAGCUUUGCCCGUUUAGGGAAUUGUCAAGAUGGUUAGACUUUAAAGUUUUGUUGUGUAAACAGGUAGUUAAUGGUUUUAAACA